CCUACGGGAGGCAGCAGUGGGGAAUCUUGCACAAUGGGCGAAAGCCUGAUGCAGCGACGCCGCGUGCGGGAUGACGGCCUUCGGGUUGUAAACCGCUUUCAGCAGGGACGAAAAUGACGGUACCUGCAGAAGAAGCCCCGGCCAACUACGUGCCAGCAGCCGCGGUAAUACGUAGGGGGCGAGCGUUGUCCGGAUUUAUUGGGCGUAAAGAGCUCGUAGGCGGUUUGGUAAGUCGGAUGUGAAAUCUCCACGCUCAACGUGGAGGGGCCAUUCGGUACUGCCAUGACUAGAGUCCGGUAGAGGAAUGUGGAAUUCCCGGUGUAGCGGUGAAAUGCGCAGAGAUCGGGAGGAACACCCGUAGCGAAGGCGGCAUUCUGGGCCGGUACUGACGCUGAGGAGCGAAAGCGUGGGGAGCGAACAGGAUUAGAUACCCUGGUAGUCCACGCCGUAAACGUUGGGCACUAGGUGUGGGGCGCUAUCGACGCGUUCCGUGCCGUAGCUAACGCAUUAAGUGCCCCGCCUGGGGAGUACGGCCGCAAGGCUAAAACUCAAAGGAAUUGACGG
rnacentral:rRNA from 1 species